UUGCCUCUCCCUGCAGCGAUAGCCAUCGAGUCGUCAGACGCUUAUAUUGGGCCGCAACGGUGCCACUCGAUGAUCAGUUGUCCUCAAGCUUCCACUACGAUAAGAUGUUGUCACGACCAAGUCUUCUCCUUGUGUUGGCCUGUGCUUACGUCCAUGUCUCGUCCGUUCCACUCGUCGGUCCACUUGCCAUUCGGCCAUUAAUUUGUCUCAACAAGAUCACCAACCAGUCAGGCGUGUGUAUGUUCACGAUGGAUUGUCACCGCAUAAACGGAACGGCACUGGGUGUGUGCGGCGACCGUUUCUACUUCGGCUCGUGCUGCGUUGUGCCCGCACUGGACGAAGAGUUGAACGCACUAGAACGGACGGGUGGUGCAUCGACCAAGCGGUGGCAAGCACCGGGCACUUAUCUAUUGGAAAUGAAAGAGCAAGAAGACCGUUCACUUUCCUCAUCGGAAGAACUUCAAAUAGAGGAUUUCUAGAAGAGUGCAAACUAGAAAAAAAAAACGAAGCCGAUGAAUUGGAUAUUUUUUUAUGUUGGUCCAAUUCUCUUUGUACGAGUGUGUCAUAAUAUAGCGCUGGUCGCUACUGGUAUAGAUACGUAUGUCAAUUGUUAGUCUAUUUUUAUUUUGUUAUACAAUCAAUACAUAUACUCUCGUUAUUAAU